UACGAAGGGGGCUAGCGUUGCUCGGAAUCACUGGGCGUAAAGGGUGCGUAGGCGGGUUUUUAAGUCAGGGGUGAAAUCCUGGAGCUCAACUCCAGAACUGCCUUUGAUACUGAAGAUCUCGAGUCCGGGAGAGGUGAGUGGAACUGCGAGUGUAGAGGUGAAAUUCGUAGAUAUUCGCAAGAACACCAGUGGCGAAGGCGGCUCACUGGCCCGGUACUGACGCUGAGGCACGAAAGCGUGGGGAGCAAACAGG
rnacentral:rRNA from 1 species